GACGCCUACGGGACGCAGCAGUGAGGAAUAUUGGUCAAUGGGCGGGAGCCUGAACCAGCCAAGUCGCGUGAGGGAAGACGGUCCUAUGGAUUGUAAACCUCUUUUGUCGGGGAGCAAAGAGAUCACGUGUGGUCAAAAGCGAGAGUACCCGAAGAAAAAGCAUCGGCUAACUCCGUGCCAGCAGCCGCGGUAAUACGGAGGAUGCGAGCGUUAUCCGGAUUUAUUGGGUUUAAAGGGUGCGUAGGCGGGACAGUAAGUCAGCGGAAAAAAUGCGGAGCUCAACUCCGUCGAGCCGUUGAAACUGC
rnacentral:rRNA from 1 species